rnacentral:tRNA from 1 species
GGGCCCGUAGCUCAGCAAGGAUAGCGCUAAACGUCUAAAGCACCGGGCUUUUAACCCGGGGGCCUCGGGUUCAAUUCCCGACGGGCCCGCCA